GGCUGGUCCGAAAGUAAUGAUUUAUCUCACUUGAUUGUUCACAGUAAGUUACUGAUUGAACUCCUUGUUCUACUACUUCCCCCUUUCUCACUACUGCACUUGAAAAUCUGUA
rnacentral:Y_RNA from 1 species